rnacentral:sRNA from 1 species
CACCUAAACUCGUAAGAAAUUACGGGCAUGGUAGACAAUCGCAGUACACAUAGACCCCGUCAUUAGGGCGUGUACUGCGUUAUACAGGGAAACUUGUAUAGGCGACCGUAAGGUUGCU